CCUGACCUCGAUUCAAGCGUGAUA
rnacentral:rRNA from 1 species